CUUGGCAACGCCAACACGGAAGUUAAAUCUCGUAAGACACGUGCUGUGGAGGAAAACCUAAAAUACUACUAAGCCAUUGGAGUCUUCAUCCUGAUGUUCUUUCUGAACUUCAGCCAGCCGUCUUCACCACAUCUGGACACAGAGACAACGAGCCUCCCACACACUCCUGGGCUCUGCACCAUAAAGUUGAGGACAACAUGGUGAAACUUCAGAAAGUCUGCAGCAGGUUUUGGAUGUGAUGUGCAGUCAGGGGGCCCAUCUGGGCACCGACUCCUUUGGAAACUUAUUUUCUAACUGUAACAUCAUUUCUGACCAGGAAUCAAAAUUCAAAGCAUCAUCUGAUUUUCUUUGCUUCAUUAAAAUCAGAUUGUUAUUUC